rnacentral:tRNA from 1 species
GUUAACUUAGUGUAACACAACACAUUGGACUUUCAAGCCAAAAACACUAAACAAAGUAGCUAACU